rnacentral:rRNA from 1 species
UACAGAGGGUGCAAGCGUUGUUCGGAAUUAUUGGGCGUAAAGCGCGUGUAGGCGGCUUUGCAAGUCGGGUGUGAAAGCCCUCAGCUCAACUGAGGAAGUGCGCCCGAAACUGCAGAGCUUGAGUGCCGGAGAGGGUGGCGGAAUUCCCCAAGUAGAGGUGAAAUUCGUAGAUAUCGGGAGGAACACCGGUGGCGAAGGCGGCGACCUGGGACGAUACUGACGCUGAGGUGCGAAAGCGUGGGGAGCAAACAGG